rnacentral:rRNA from 1 species
GCUUCGGUCUGUAAACUGCUUUUCUGGAGGAUGACUCCCGCAAGGGAAGACAGUACUCCAGGAAUAAGGGGGUGCCAAUUCUGUGCCAGCAGCCGCGGUAAGACAGAACCCCCAAGCGUUAUCCGGAUUUAUUGGGCGUAAAGGGUCCGUAGGCGCCCCACCAAGUUUUCUGUUAAACCUCCUGGGCUCAACCUAGGAGCUGCAGAAAAAACUGGCGGGGUAGAGGGCAUUAGAGGUGGAUGGAACGGUCGGUGUAGGGGUGAAAUCCGUUGAUAUCGACCGGAACACCAAAGGCGAAGGUAUUCCACUGGGGUGGCCCUGACGCUGAGGGACGAAAGCGUGGGGAGCAAAAAGGAUUAGAUACCCUUGUAGUCCACGCUGUAAAUUAUGGACACUGGCUAUCUGAAGUGUCGACCCUUCGGGUGGCGAAGCUUACGCGUUAAGUGUCCCGCCUGGGAAGUACGGCCGCAAGGCUAAAACUCAAAGGAAUAGACGGGGAUCUACACAAGCGGUGGACCAUGUGGCUCAAUUCGACAACAAACGAGGAACCUUACCAGGGCUU